rnacentral:rRNA from 1 species
AUUGAACGCUGGCGGCAGGCCUAACACAUGCAAGUCGAGCGGAUGAAGGGAGCUUGCUCCCUGAUUCAGCGGCGGACGGGUGAGUAAUGCCUAGGAAUCUGCCUGGGAGUGGGGGACAACGUUUCGAAAGGAACGCUAAUACCGCAUACGUCCUACGGGAGAAAGCAGGGGACCUUCGGGCCUUGCGCUAUCAGAUGAGCCUAGGUCGGAUUAGCUAGUUGGUGAGGUAAUGGCUCACCAAGGCGACGAUCCGUAACUGGUCUGAGAGGAUGAUCAGUCACACUGGAACUGAGACACGGUCCAGACUCCUACGGGAGGCAGCAGUGGGGAAUAUUGGACAAUGGGCGAAAGCCUGAUUCAGCCAUGCCGCGUGUGUGAAGAAGGUCUUCGGAUUGUAAAGCACUUUAAGUUGGGAGGAAGGGUUGCUGAUUAAUACUCUGCAAUUUUGACGUUACCGACAGAAUAAGCACCGGCUAACUCUGUGCCAGCAGCCGCCGUAA